GACGAACGCUGGCGGCGUGCUUAACACAUGCAAGUCGAGCGGAAAGGCCCUUCGGGGUCCUCGAGCGGCGAACGGGUGAGUAACACGUGAGUAACCUGCCCCAGACUUUGGGAUAACCCCCGGAAACGGGGGCUAAUACCGGAUACGACACAGCUUCGCAUGGGGUCUGUGUGGAAAGUUUUUCGGUUUGGGAUGGGCUCGCGGCCUAUCAGCUUGUUGGUGGGGUGAUGGCCUACCAAGGCGACGACGGGUAGCCGGCCUGAGAGGGCGACCGGCCACACUGGGACUGAGACACGGCCCAGACUCCUACGGGAGGCAGCAGUGGGGGAUAUUGCACAAUGGGCGGAAGCCUGAUGCAGCGACGCCGCGUGAGGGAUGACGGCCUUCGGGUUGUAAACCUCUUUCAGCAGGGACGAAGCGUAAGUGACGGUACCUGCAGAAGAAGCGCCGGCCAACUACGUG
rnacentral:rRNA from 1 species